AUACCUUUCUCGGCCUUUUGGCUAAGAUAAAGUAUUAUAUUUAUUCUUAUCAGCUUAAUAUCUGACAUGUGGACCAUAUGCUCACUUUGAUAUUAAAUUUAUUUUUAUAGGUAUCAAAUAUGAUUGUAUGUUGUCGUAGCUCACGGGCAUUGUACUAGUUUGCUAUAAAAGCACAAUUCAUUUUCCCAAAUUAACCAUAU
rfam:Zea mays cultivar B73 chromosome 2, whole genome shotgun sequence.